GCGAGCGUAGUUCAAUGGUAAAACAUCUCCUUGCCAAGGAGAAAGUACGGGUUCGAUUCCCGUCGCUCGCC
rnacentral:tRNA from 1 species